GCAACAGCGUUGCACGUUGGUUCCGCUUCAUAGAUACGUCUGUAAAGCGGCUAAGAGGGAAUGUGACAAGGCUCCUGAUCAAAGGGAGCUACAAGCACAGCCGCCCCCGCGACCGUGACCGGAAAGAUCGCUCUAUGCCACUGACCAAUCGUCGGGAAGGCGGGUGAUCGUUGGGGAAACCCUGAUUCCGCAAGCCGGGAGACCUGCCAGCAGACUAUUCAACGG
rnacentral:ncRNA from 2 species